GGGUUGGAAGGAGAGAAGGUAAGAAUUCCAGCAUUCCCCUUGCUGAGAACAGAAGAGGCUCUCGAGUCUGAAACUCAUCAGAUUAAAGCAUUUCUGCCAACUUUGUGAUAUCUAGCCAUUGUUU